AUUGAACGCUGGCGGCAGGCCUAACACAUGCAAGUCGAACGGUAACAGGAAGAAGCUUGCUUCUUUGCUGACGAGUGGCGGACGGGUGAGUAAUGUCUGGGAAACUGCCUGAUGGAGGGGGAUAACUACUGGAAACGGUAGCUAAUACCGCAUAACGUCGCAAGACCAAAGAGGGGGACCUUCGGGCCUCUUGCCAUCGGAUGUGCCCAGAUGGGAUUAGUUAGUAGGUGGGGUAACGGCUCACCUAGGCGACGAUCCCUAGCUGGUCUGAGAGGAUGACCGGCCACACUGGAACUGAGACACGGUCCAGACUCCUACGGGAGGCAGCAGUGGGGAAUAUUGCACAAUGGGCGCAAGCCUGAUGCAGCCAUGCCGCGUGUAUGAAGAAGGCCUUCGGGUUGUAAAGUACUUUCAGCGGGGAGGAAGGGAGUAAAGUUAAUACCUUUGCUCAUUGACGUUACCCGCAGAAGAAGCACCGGCUAACUCCGUG
rnacentral:rRNA from 1 species